UAUCUAAACCGCUUAUCCUCAGAAGGGUUGCGGGACAGCUGGAGCCUAGCCCAGCUAGCCUCAGGCAAAAGGCAGACUACACCCUGAACUGAUCAGCAGGUAGGUAAACAUCAUCAUCACUGAGCGGGAAUCGAUCCUGCGCUGCCUGCACCAAAGACAGGCGUGUGUACCACUACACCAUCAGUGACUACAAACCAAAUAUCAAGGAAUAUAAACAUCAAAGGCCAAUCAGGCUCGCUUCCCGACAUAAUUUUCUCUGCAAAUAUUGACGGCGAUUUUCCUCGGCAUUGACACCAGCGGGCGCCAACGCUUCGCUCAUCCCUCAGGAAGAAACCGGAGUGCCCGGAGGAAACCCACCCAGGCACGGGGAGAACAUGCAAACUCCACACAGUUUGUGGUCACCAACCUGUGAGAAGAGCGCCCCCUGCAGCCCGGCUUGGUCUGUGGCCCGAACGCGGAGCCGGUAUGUGUCUUGACUU